rnacentral:rRNA from 1 species
AGUGAACGCUGGCGGUAGGCCUAACACAUGCAAGUCGAACGGCAGCACAGUAAGAGCUUGCUCUUACGGGUGGCGAGUGGCGGACGGGUGAGGAAUACAUCGGAAUCUACUUUUUCGUGGGGGAUAACGUAGGGAAACUUACGCUAAUACCGCAUACGACCUACGGGUGAAAGCAGGGGAUCUUCGGACCUUGCGCGAUUGAAUGAGCCGAUGUCGGAUUAGCUAGUUGGCGGGGUAAAGGCCCACCAAGGCGACGAUCCGUAGCUGGUCUGAGAGGAUGAUCAGCCACACUGGAAAUGAGGCACGGUCCAGACUCCUACGGGAGGCAGGAGUGGGGAAUAUUGGACAAUGGGCGGAAGCCUGAUCCAGCCAUAACGCGUGGGUGAAGAAGGCCUUUGGGUUGUAAAGCCCCUUUGUUGGGAAAGAAAAGCAGCAGGUUAAUACCCCGCUGUUCUGACGGUACCCAAAGAAUAAGCACCGGCUAACUUCGUG